rnacentral:rRNA from 1 species
ACCUUGAGCAGCGUUACGGGUACUGCUGUCAUAAAAGCGGCCGAUGACUACAGCCACAAUAACUACGCCGACGACGUCAAUAACGACGACGCCCCUCUUCUCUGCUGCUGCYGCGCAAAACCAUUUUAUCCGCCGCCCUCGGCUCGGACGAGACGACCCGCUGAACUUAAGCAUAUCGCUAAGCGGAGGAAAAGAAACCAACCGGGAUUCCCUUAGUAACGGCGAGUGAACCGGGAGAAGCCCAACGCCGAAUCCCGUCGCAAGUAAAAGGCUUCGGGACGUGUGGCGCAUGGGUCGAAGGCAGCCGUUCGUUUUCGUCUCGCGUAGUUCGGAGUUCCCUCGAUCGGGGCCGCCCGUGGCGGGUGCCAGGCCCAUUCGGUGCGGACGGCGAGCGACGGCCUUCGAUCCGAGAGUCGGGUUGCUUGGGAACGCAGCCCAAAUCGGGUGGUAAGCUCCAUCCAAGGCUAAAUACCGGGACGAGUCCGAUAGUCGACAAGUACCGUGAGGGAAAGUUGAAAAGAACUUUGGAGAGAGAGUUCAAGAGAACGUGAAACCGCCCAGGGGUAAACGGGUGGGACCGCUCACCGCGAUCGCGGGGGGACUCAGUCCGGUGCUGCCUAGGCUCGAGCCCAAACUCGAUGUGUUCUUAAUAGAGGCCGCUGCGGACGUCGUCGUGUUCGUGGGGAUUCGUCUCUGCGAGCCAGCUUUUGUGCCCGCGUCGCCGACGAAGGAGACGGGCCGCGUUGACAGCGGGAAGGGAAACGUGGUGACAACCGCGGCGACGGUGGCUGCGACGGGAGGGUUCGUGGGGGUUGGAUUCGUCCUUCUCUCGCUGCCCUUUCUCUCGCCGCCGCCGGCCUGCCGCAACCGUUGCCACCGCUUCUUCUUUCCUCCUGCUCCCUCUGCGCGCGCCGCCGAAAUCAUCCCGUCCCCUUCUUCUCGCUCGGCAAUCAAUGGCGCGGGCGCUUCGGCGCGACGUAACAAACAACCGCACGGUCGGCACCGGACGCACUUCCCCUCCGGUCCGUCGUCGCGACCCGUUCCCGGCGUGCAGGUCGACACGCGGGUAUUCCGUAGACGGCAGGCGCUUCAGAAAACUCUCGUCAUCUUUGAUGGCGGGGGCCACCAGCCGUCGGGCCCGCGAAUGUAACUGCCCCUUUCUGCUGGGGACGGAGGAAAAUUGACGCGAUCCGUUACACGUGGCGAGCCGGUUCGUUUUAAUCCCGUCAGACGUCUCGUGCGGGGGGGGUGACCCCCUCCAUUUGGCGCCCCACCGUCUCGGGUGUGUGCGAGAGAAGAGACAGGAUAGAACUGGCGCGGCCUCGCCGUCACGCACCUCGCCGGUGUGCGGGUCUUUGCCGGGGGAAACUCCGUCAUGCCCGUGCAGUCCGGUGUGGUCGCUCGGCGACGCUCUUAAUGGCCGCCCGCCACUUCGGGUCAGCGACGUGCAUCGGCAACCCACCCGACCCGUCUUGAAACACGGACCGAGGAGUCCUGGCCGUUCGCGAGUCGUAGGGGCCCCCUCUGACUAACCCCGAAGGCAUAGCGAAAGCGAGAGAGCGUGUUGGAGGGCGCCGACCGGGAGAGGUGUCGUGGCGAAGUCGUGCGGGGGUCGUCGGGGGAAAAGCGGUUUCGGCCGUUUCUUUCUCGCCUCACCCGCCCUCCGAGCCGUGCCCGAUCCCGCCGGUGCGGUGUCUCGUCCUCUGCGUCGUCCUCUCGUCGUGCAUGUCGCCUCACGGUGACGACGUGCGGCGAUGACGUGCGUGGUUGUUUCCCUCCUCCCCGAGAGGGGAUCGGUACCAUGGGAAUUUCGGGGCAUCAGCUUUUAUCCUCCUACCGCCCAUCGGUGAGAUCCCGCGGCUUGAACUAGUCCUAUUUUGUCGUCGAGUUUAGGCACUGCACGCGGGCGCAUCACCCCCGGGUCGGCGGUGAAAACCUUUCCGAGUACGACUCGGCCGACUCUGGCGUAGCGAGCGGCCAGGGACCCGAAAGAUGGCGAUCCACGCCCGGUCGGGAUGAAGCCAGAGGAAACUCUGGUGGAAGUCCGAAGCGCCUCUGACGUGCAAAUCGAUCGUCGGAACCGGGUGUAGGGGCGAAAGACCAAUCGAGCCGUCUAGUAGCUGGUUCCCUCCGAAGUUUCCCUCAGGAUAGCUGGCGCUCGAUCGUCGCAAUUCCAUCCGGUAAAGCGAACGAUUGGAGGCCCCGGGGCCGUUCACGGCCUCGACCUACUCUCGAACUCGGAACGGGUGGAACGGGCCGACUCUCCCGAACAACGGAGCCGACCCACAUUUUCUUGUCGCGCUUGCGUGACAACGAAAACGAAUGCGAGUGCCAAGUGGGCCACUUUUGGUAAGCAGAACUGGCGCUGUGGGAUGAACCAAACGUCCGGCUAAGGUGCCUAACGCGACGCCCAUGAGAUCCCCGAAAGGGUGUCGGUCGAUAUAGACAGCAGGACGGUGGCCACGGAAGUCGGAAUCCGCUAAGGAGUGUGUAACAACUC